rnacentral:misc_RNA from 1 species
AAGUCGUAACAAGGUUUCCGUAAGUGAACCUGCGGAAGAAUCAUUAACACGUAUCCAACGUUAAACCCCCCUGUCAACCUUCAUUGUGCUCCCCCAUUCCGUUAGGACGCGGCAAUCCCUGGUAAAUCAUCGCCGAACAGUUUUGAUUCAGGGACCUCUGCAUGGAGUGGGCAGCAGCGCGAGUGGCAUUCGAAAGAAUGGCGCAGUAACGAUCGCUAGAGGCCGACACGGCCGGCGACCGGGUCACUGGGCUCACGCCCCCCUAUCACCUUUGCAUGAAAACGGCCACCAAACUCGAACAACUGUUAACAAUGGAUAUCUUGGUUCUC